UACGAGGGGGGCGAGCGUUGUUCGGAAUUAUUGGGCGUAAAGGGUGCGUAGGCGGUUUGGUAAGUCUGAUGUGAAAUCUCACAGCUUAACUGUGAAACUGCAUUGGAUACUAUUCGGCUAGAGAGUUGGAGGGGGGACUGGAAUUCUUGGUGUAGCAGUGAAAUGCGUAGAUAUCAAGAGGAACACCAGUGGCGAAGGCGAGUCCCUGGACAACUUCUGACGCUGAGGCACGAAAGCUAGGGGAGCAAACAGG
rnacentral:rRNA from 1 species